CGGGGAUUGGCGCAAUUGGUUAGCGCGCACGGUUCGGAACCGUGAGGCUGAUGGUUCGAGUCCAUUAUCCCCGACAA
rnacentral:tRNA from 5 species